rnacentral:rRNA from 1 species
UACGUAGGUGGCAAGCGUUGUCCGGAUUUACUGGGCGUAAAGAGCGCGCAGGCGGUCGUUCAAGUCGCGUGUGAAAGCCCCCGGCUCAACUGGGGAGGGUCACGCGAUACUGAUCGACUGGAAGGCAGGAGAGGGUAGUGGAAUUCCCGGUGUAGCAGUGAAAUGCGUAGAGAUCGGGAGGAACAUCAGUUGCGAAGGCGGCACUCUGGGCCGGUACUGACGCUGAGGAGCGAAAGCGUGGGGAGCAAACAGG